rnacentral:rRNA from 1 species
GAAGAACGAGGGAGGCGUGCUUAACACAUGCAAGUCGAACGGAAAGGCCUGCUUUCCCUUGUGGAUUGCGGGUACUCGAGUGGCGAACGGGUGAGUAACACGUGAGUGAUCUGCCCCCAACUUGGGUAUAAGCCUGGGAAACUGGGUCUAAUUCCCGAUAGGACUGCAGGGUGGUGCCUGUGGUGGAAAACGAUUUUCUAGUGGUUGGGGAUGAGCUCGCGGCCUAUCAGCUUGUUGGUGGGGUAAUGGCCUACCAAGGCGGCGACGGGUAGCCGGCCUGAGAGGGUGGACGGCCACAUUGGGACUGAGAUACGGCCCAGACUCCUACGGGAGGCAGCAGUGGGGAAUAUUGCACAAUGGGCGGAAGCCUGAUGCAGCGACGCCGCGUGGGGGAUGACGGCCUUCGGGUUGUAAACUCCUUUCGACCGCGAGGAAGCCACCUGGUUGGAAGGGUGGUGACGGUAGUGGUAGAAGAAGCACCGGCUAACUACGUG